UCUAAGGAAGAGACUCCCUUGUUCAUCGGAGGCGUUCCUCAGACUAUUUCAACGGAAGUUUGGUAACAAAGCACCCGACAAUUCAGGGUCUCCCAAGUCUUCUCCCCCCUGAACUCCCAAUGGACCUUCGUCCAUUAGGCUCUUCACCUUCCUUGGCAGGUACCCAGAACCUGAGCCGAUGAAACCCACCGUCCACGAUCCUGAGCCAAUGAAGCCUGGCGUCCACGACCCUUGGCCAGGGAGACAAGGCUUCCCGGAACCCGAGCCGAUCCCGUCCAGCGUCCCGGAACCCGAGCCGGACCCAUCCGGCGUUAUGGAAACCCGAGCAGUUCCGUCUGGCGUCCCGGAACCCAUGUCAGACCCAUCCAGCAAAUACGGUCUUGUUGAGGUCAGGUCGCCAGAGCCCCCUACCACGGAACACAAAGCCUUCUACGCCUCCGCCGAUGUCUGCACGGUCAGCGUUCCCUCCUAGGACCCUGUAAACUCCACCCAGUCUCCGCCCAAUCAACCUUUUGUUUGAUUGUUUGUCUGCCUUGUUUGUGGGCUGCCUGCCUGUUUGCAAAACAAAAGGGAAAAUGAAGAUAAAGAAUAAAAAUACACAUUCAUUUUAAGUUUUGCUUGCAGACUAGGUUGAAACAUUUCAAUAUAUUAGGAAAAAUACCAUAACAGAGCAAUCAGAAACUUCAUUUUAUUCUUUUGUUUUUCCUAGGGUCCCUGGAACUAAUGUAGUUCUGAACUGAGAGCAAUCAGCUUUUCCCCAAGUUUUUUCUCUCUCUUUCACUCCAUCUCUACAACUGCUCCCCCAAAAUUAUUGGCUUUGAUUGACCUUCUACAAUGUCUUUUAAUGAUUGGAUUUUGUGUAGCUAAAUAAUUACUAGAAGGCUCAGUGUAGUUGGACUGUUGGGACAGACAUCUUACUGCAUAAAACAUUAAGGCCUAAACUUUACGAAAUGGGAUAGUUAGUCGAAGAGGACUGCUUUUUAAUGGGAGUUAGUUUGGCUUGUAGCUCUAACUGUUGGGUCUAUCUGUGUGGAUGGUAACUUAAGUUGUCAUCAGAAAACUUUGGCUUUGCCUUUGAAAAGUACAUGAUGAUUAUCAGUCAGGUGUGUUCACUAGAAUGAAGUCAUAGAGAUGUUAAUGGAUCUUACCCAGUGCAUAUGUGAAUCAAAUCAAAUAAAUAUAAUGGUCAUUCUCACACGCU
rnacentral:lncRNA from 1 species